CCUACGGGUGGCAGCAGUGAGGAAUAUUGGUCAAUGGACGGAAGCCUGAACCAGCCAUGCCGCGUGCAGGAAGACGGCUCUAUGAGUUGUAAACUGCUUUUGUACAAGGGUAAACCUGAAUACGUGUAUUCAGCUGAAAGUACUGUACGAAUAAUGAUCGGCUAACUCCGUGCCAGCAGCCGCGGUAAUACGGAGGAUCCAAGCGUUAUCCGGAUUUAUUGGGUUUAAAGGGUGCGUAGGCGGAUUGAUAAGUUAGAGGUGAAAUGUCCGGGCUUAACUCGGGAACUGCCUCUAAUACUGUUGAUCUAGAGAGUAGAUGCGGUAGGCGGAAUGUAUGGUGUAGCGGUGAAAUGCUUAGAGAUCAUACAGAACACCGAUUGCGAAGGCAGCUUACCAAUCUAUAUCUGACGUUGAGGCACGAAAGCGUGGGGAGCAAACAGGAUUAGAUACCCCUGUAGUC
rnacentral:rRNA from 1 species